rnacentral:rRNA from 1 species
GACGAACGCUGGCGGCGCGCCUAACACAUGCAAGUCGAACGGAGUCAAGAGGAGCUUGCUUUUCUUGACUUAGUGGCGAACGGGUGAGUAACGCGUGAGUAACCUGCCUUGGAGUGGGGGACAACAGUUGGAAACGACUGCUAAUACCGCAUAAGCCCACGGAUCCGCAUGGACCUGCGGGAAAAGGAUUUAUUCGCUUCAGGAUGGACUGGCGUCCAAUUAGCUAGUUGGUGAGGUAACGGCCCACCAAGGCGACGAUUGGUAGCCGGACUGAGAGGUUGAACGGCCACAUUGGGACUGAGACACGGCCCAGACUCCUACGGGAGGCAGCAGUGGGGGAUAUUGCACAAUGGGGGAAACCCUGAUGCAGCGACGCCGCGUGGAGGAAGAAGGUUUGCGGAUUGUAAACUCCUGUCGUAAGGGACGAUAAUGACGGUACCUAACAAGGAAGCACCGGCUAACUACGUG